rnacentral:rRNA from 1 species
UACGGAGGGGGCUAGCGUUGUUCGGAAUUACUGGGCGUAAAGCGCACGUAGGCGGCUUUGUAAGUUAGAGGUGAAAGCCCAGGGCUUAACCCUGGAAUUGCCUUUAAGACUGCAUCGCUAGAAUCGUGGAGAGGUGAGUGGAAUUCCGAGUGUAGAGGUGAAAUGCGUAGAUAUCAGGAGGAACACCGGUGGUGUAGACGGCUUUCUG